AAUUUUUUUAAAAAAAAUGAUAUGUCUAUUUUUUGUUUGUUUUCAUUUAUUUGUUUUAGAAUGACGGGGGAAAUGGAAGGAGAAAAAAAAACAAUGCUAAAAAGCCUGGAGAUGACCACAUAUGAAAGGACCAUAUGUGCAAAGGACUGCUGGAAAAUGAAUCAGACGUGCAAAAACAACAACAACAAGAACAAACCAAAAAAACAGGCUUUGCUAAAAAUUGCUAUGUUGUUACGCUGGUCUCAAACUUCUGGCCUCAAGCGAUGCUCCCAUCUCUGCCUCCCCAAGUGCCCGGAUUAAAGGUAUGAGUCACAGGCCAUUGUACCUGGCCAGUUUUGUUUUCUUUUCU
rnacentral:lncRNA from 1 species